CUCUAGGAAGAGGGGUGGCCAACCAAGACAGACGGGUCGCCAGGGCCCCCGCUCCCACUCUGGUUAAUAAUGAUCUCCCUUCCCCUCUGCUUCCCAGUACCAGAGAUGUCUCCAAGAGCACCAGCAACCCCAGCUAUCUGGAUCUGAAGUGGAUCUGCUCAGAGACAUCCUGGCCCACCCCAAAGAAGAUGCUGCUGCACUCAGAAGACGCCAGAGCUAGCCACCACCCACACUGCAAGUCUGGAAGCUCUGCCAGGACCCAGCAAGGCAGCCUGCUCAGCGAAGGCUUUGUCUCCUGUGGCAGGAAGAGCAACAUUAAGAACAAGAACCCCGGGCUGGACUACCCUUGAGAUUUAAUGACCAGAGCUGAGACCCCCAAGACCACAAUGACUAUGGAGGGCUGUCAUUACCUUGCCUGACCCUCUAAUGCAUCUCAGUUCAUGGAGGCCACUGAGUGAAACCGAAGGCUGGUUUUCCUUGGAAGCCAGCGGCCCAUCCACCUGCUCCACUUCCCUGCCUCUUGCAGCCUCUGCUCAAACACUGUCGUGGCUUGGCAGCACUACAAGGCAGAGUGAAAACAGAUACUUCUGCCCACAUUCCUAUCUCCUCUCAUUUACGCAGAUUAAAUGCUUUCUUUCCUUGUUUUACACUGCUAGGAUUUUCAUCACCCUGUUUUUUCUUUCUCUACAUCAGCUACAAGAAAAAAAAAAAAGGAGUUACUGAGCAACUAAGAUGUCACAACUGUUUUCAGUUUUAUUAAUGAGUUGUUAUACUUAUUUUAUAGAUAGAGAAUUACCAUUAUAACAUUGCUCCAUUGCUCACUCAUCCAUUCACGCAUCUGUCCAUCCGUCCAUCCACCCAUUUGUCCACUCCCCAAAUGGUCAUCAAUUGUCUACUGUGAGCCAAGCAAAGUGCUCCUUACUUUGGACUCUGAAUCCAGUGCUCUUUCUGCUUCACCAUAGACACAUGCCCCUUGAGUAUAAGGGAGCUUGAUUCAUUCAACAAAUAUCUGUUGUCCACCUCCAAUGUACUGGCAUGUUCUAAAUGCAUCCAACAAAAACCAAAAUGAAAAAAAAGAAAAACCCAUUCCUUCAAGGGGAUUGAAUUUGGACUGGGGGAGACAGAUAAAAUAAAAAUAAUAAAGUCAAAUAUAUAUGUUAGUGACAUGUGCCGUGAAGAAUAAUGCCCAAUAGGUAAAUGGGGCAAUUAACAAAUGUAAUGUAAAUAAAUUAUUUCCAUGAAAUCGUUGACUCACCAACAGAGGGAACACAAUUUGGUCCAUGGUAAAAUAUUCCUUGGUAUUAAUAAUUUCUUCUCCUAAGUAUUUCAGGGGCUGCCAAGCUGCUCUCCUGUUUCCUCUUCCUUGGGGCUGAUUGCAUCCCAUGAUGUGCCCAGGUUUUGAGAUGCUCCUCGUGAAUGAAAAUAGAACUGUCUGGUUCCUCCGUCCAUAGCAAGGGAGCCUGGACAGAAAUAACUUCUGUGCGUUUCUCCAGCUACAUUUAGGGAAAACUAGAAAAUACAGAAAUAUAUCAAGAAGAAAAAAAAUUUUUUAAUGACCCAAAAUCCCACCAACAAGAGACAGCUAUUAAUGAUUGUGGUAUAUUUAUUGUAAGUCUCUUUAUUUCUGUCUUCAUGCAAACACAUUUUUAAAGAAUGGACACUGGUAUUAUAUUGUUUAUAC
rnacentral:lncRNA from 1 species